rnacentral:rRNA from 1 species
AUUGAACGCUGGCGGCAUGCCUUACACAUGCAAGUCGAACGGUAACAGGUCUUCGGACGCUGACGAGUGGCGAACGGGUGAGUAAUACAUCGGAACGUGCCCGAUCGUGGGGGAUAACGAGGCGAAAGCUUUGCUAAUACCGCAUACGAUCUACGGAUGAAAGCGGGGGAUCUUCGGACCUCGCGCGGACGGAGCGGCCGAUGGCAGAUUAGGUAGUUGGUGGGAUAAAAGCUUACCAAGCCGACGAUCUGUAGCUGGUCUGAGAGGAUGAUCAGCCACACUGGGACUGAGACACGGCCCAGACUCCUACGGGAGGCAGCAGUGGGGAAUUUUGGACAAUGGGCGAAAGCCUGAUCCAGCCAUGCCGCGUGCAGGAUGAAGGCCUUCGGGUUGUAAACUGCUUUUGUACGGAAAGAAAAGCCUCUUUCUAAUAAAGAGGGGUCAUGACGGUACCGUAAGAAUAAGCACCGGCUAACUACGUG